rnacentral:rRNA from 1 species
GGACUACCCGGGUAUCUAAUCCUGUUUGCUCCCCUAGCUUUCGUGCCUCAGUGUCAGGAGUUGUCCAGGGACUCGCCUUCGCCACUGGUGUUCCUCUCGACAUCUACGCAUUUCACUGCUACACCGAGAAUUCCAGUCCCCCCUCCAACCCUCCAGCCAUAUAGUAUCCAAUGCAGUUUCGAAGUUAAGCUUCGAGAUUUCACAUCAGACUUAUGCGGCCACCUACGCACCCUUUACGCCCAGUGAAUCCGAACAACGCUUGGGACCUCUGUAUUACCGCGGCUGCUGGCAC